UGCCCAGGUAUAUAGCAAAGUCUUUUUUCUUAGCUCAGUGUUGAGUUUACUUCUUUCUCUUAGCUAGUCGAGAGCGACUUUCUCUGGAGAUUGCACGACCUUCAAGGGGUAGAAGACCAGCUGCAGGACGGAUUGGCUUUCGCUCCCAAUGAUUUCUACUCUUACUUCAAGCACAGACAGCAUGCGUUUCACGUUGAUGAAAUCCCCGGUAUGAAGCUGGUAAUUUAGUAGAGUUCUCUUACAAGUUACCAAAACCCGUGGCGCUGCAGCUUUCCGAGCCGUUUGAGGCCUUCGUUCUUGACUUCUAUAGAGCUCCAGAUGUGCGUGGAGAAUUUAAUCAAGCCGUGCAUGUCAACUUCUCUGGGACUGCUCACGCAAUAGUUUCAUGGUACGAAACUUGCUCGGAUUCGCUACUUCUUGGUUCGCUUUCUUCUCUGCUUGAACUUGACAAGGUGGGUGCUGCAGCUUGACAAAGAUGGCCUGGUUUGCUACUCAACUGCUCCUCGUUGGAUCAGAGGUUUGUUUUCCUGUUCGAUUCUUUGAGUAACUCCGCAGAUUUGUGUUCUCAGGGGCAAGCGAGUGGUGUGACCAUUGGAAACAAUGUGUGUGGUUUCUUCCUGGACAAGGUGUUUCGGUGGAGGAGCAGUCGGAGCUUCGCGUCGUAGUCAGCCAUGAUGAAGCGUCAGUGCGGUAUGACAUCAAUGGUGGUGUAUGCUGUAAUAGUUCAGCGUCUGGUUUCGAGCUGAGCCUACAAAGGUGUCGCAUGCUUGGUGACGGUAGCAGGCGUUCUAUCAUACAGUCUGCCAUUCAGAAAGCUGUAAGUGUGUUUUGAAUCUGUGAGUACGAUUGUUUCUUUUUCUUUCUGUCCAGCUUGGAGAACGAGAACUUGGAAACUGUCUCAUUCGGGAUGACGGCCUGAUGAGCGCCGUGUGUGCUCUAUCUACAGCGCAUGGAUCCUGCCAUGUGGCUGGCUUGUUUCCAGGCUGUAGAAGAGAUGGCUUGAAGUACUUGGAGAGCGUCGCGAGCAAGCUGUCUAUUAUACACAAAGACGGCAAGCAUCUCACUGGGGACGAUUUCAAGGGGCAUAAAGUAUACAGUCUUGCAACUCCAUUGGAUAUGGACGGGUUUCUUUCUUUUCGCGACAGGUGGAUGUUCUUCUAGGGGAGCCUUAUUACGCCACGUACGAGCAUGCGUUGCCGUGGAAGCAGCUUCGGUUUUGGUUCGUUUUCGUUUCGUUUUCUAAAGAGUUGGAAGUUGUUUUAAAGCAGUGAGAAUCCAGGUACGAGAGAACGACGCUAAGUCCGUUGCUAUCAGAGAACCCUAUUAUAGUUCCCUGCUUUGGAAUUCUCUAUGGGAUGGCUUGUCAUCUUCCUGUAAGUUGAUUAUUUUCUCUGCAGUGACUUUGGUUUCAUGUUGGCUAAAUCAGGAUUUGUGGCAAAGCCGCUGUCGCCUUGAAGAAGUCGAUGGCUUUGAUCACAGGUCAUUGACAAAACCGUUUUCGCUGCUCGAGUUCAACAUGCGUCAGGAAGAGUCUAAGUGGAUUUGCAAAGGUUAUUCAAUUCUGUCCUCUUUGGUACCACUUAAUGUUUUCUGCUACUUUUGCACAGGUUAGCGUUGUAAAGACUGGGCUCUGCCAUGGAGUUGUCCUGUGGAUGGACUGGGUGAUGGAUCCCGAGAACAAGGAUUUGGUACUUAGCAAUCCAACACACCUCAAAUUGGGAACAAGCAAAGCUUUUGAUUGCAAGGUAUGCAUACAAUGCCUCUCUAUAGUGGAGUCUCUGAAGUUUCUAGAUCUAUAGUAGAUUUGAGAGCCUAGGAUUGUUUACUUCAGUCUUGAGAACAAUGGAUUAUAGCAAGCAGCCUUAUUCAUUCAUAAUAGUAAUGCCCAUAACUAGUUUCAGCAACUAGACUAGACAGGCAGAGCGAUACCCCCUGCAGCGCAGAGAUCAGCUCCGGUGUUGCGAUCGUAGAGACUGCAGCCCUCUUUCAUGUCCUCGCAGCUGCGGCGUGCAUUCCUGCAAGACUGCAGGGUGGUGCCCUGAAAAGUUACAGACUUGGCACAAAUGGACACUCUGGGCAGGCAAACGAGGGCGCAAACCCCCAUGGGGUCUUCAGUAGGCAGGCAGGUGCUGUUUGCGGAUGGAUUCUCCAAGUAGAUGCAACCGGAUUUCCCGAAGCAGCAACCACAGUUAUCUUUGGAGACCUCGGCAUUGCAGACCUCCACAAUCGAAUCAAGCUUACACUUCCUUCCUGCCAUGAGCUCUAUCGGAGAGGGCUGAGCUUCCUGAACAUAAUGAACAAGGCGGUUACCUUGAUCUGUGCCCUGCUGCUCCAGCCGCGGGAUGGGGUCACCGUUAACGAUGUUGUAGUAACCGCAUCCAGGUUGUCGGGGUGGGAGUUUUCCCUUGAGCACCUUGAUGCCUGAUGUUGGGAAUCCUGAUGAAGGCAAUGGGCAUACGGCCAACUUCGGACCUUGGCACUCCCGGGUACAAGCCCUUGAAUCACCGCCAAUGCAAGUGACUUGUCCUGAACCAGGUUGCAGAUAGACACAACCUUUCUUCAGACUACAGCAGUUGCUGCAAUCGGUAUAGGUGAGGUCACCAUUGCAAACCUCGACGACACCACCUUGAGCAGCUGCAAGAACAGGAGUCCGAGUUAGAAUCGAACAUACAAGUGGAGAUCUCUCUCACAGGAUAACGAGGCCAACAGAAGAAGAACGAGCACGGGGAGAUUGCCGCUUCCAGCCAUACUUCUCUAUUGCAGAUCUGAUGGGCUUUUGAAGUCCAGCAUUGGUGCUUUAGAAAUGUUCAAAACGUGUGUCCUUGACACAAUGGAUAUCUUAAUGCAGUAAGAUAAGCCCUCUCACCACGGAUGUGACGGGCGAGCUGAAUGUCCUUUGGCAAUGCCAAAGGACAUCUAAUGCCAAAUUGGCAUUAGAUAGUGGCUUGCUUUGCGAAGAUUCACCGGUAAAAUGCGGGAACAAUGCCCAGUCUCAGCACAAAAACAAAUAUCAGCUCCAGUGUUGCAAACGUAGAGAUUGCAGCCCUUGAUAGAAUGAGCGGACCGAAGCUGGAGAGCCUAGGCCUGAAAAACGAUCAGGCACGGUUGCAAGGGUGCAGGGUAACAAGUUGCAUACGGUGGCAAUUUAUUUUGGAAAAAUGCUCGUCUCGACCAUUUUGAUUUUUUAUAUUCAUUUUCUGUUGUCACAUAUAUUGUCUGUAUUGAAAACAUAUAUGCCACUAGCAACCCUUGUACCAGGGGUGCUACCCCGAUCGAUUUUUUGCUCUUAGGUAGGGAAAGCUGGAUUACUCCUGUGUUGAGAGCUCAUAAAAUAGAGUAAAUGGCAGCAUCUGUUAGAACUAAGCUGAACAUGCACACAACCAAGGCAGGUAGCUCACUGGUAGAGCACCUGGCACCGGUGUAGGAGGUCCUGCCUGUCCAGCCAUUUUCCAACGGCAUCCAUCCCUCCAGCUGGCUGAAAGUUUGGAUCCCAGGACCAUUUUGCACUAACAAUGCAAACUUUAAUUGAACCAGGCCAUGGGGAAGAGUCAACCAUUGAACCCAAGCAUGAUCAAUAACAAGGACUCGACGCAAAGAGUUUCUUCAAUUCUCAUAUUGGUGUUGGUACAGUGGUUCACAUUGAGUUGGUAGCUUCCCAGACAACUUGUUUGGUUGCUGCUAAAGUUCCUUGAUGGAACACUGCCUUCAAACCUGUUGUUGGUCGCAUUGGAGCUGAAAUUUUUGGAAGGCUCACCCGAGAAGAUGGCCUCCCAGUUUGUUGGAGUUUAACAGAAGUAUGCUCGGAAAGCUGAGAGGAAUGCUGCCUUGUAGGUGACUAAUAUCUGCCGAAUCUCAGGAGAGCUGAACAAGCUAGAAGCAGUUAGAGAGUUCCUAAUCCCUGCAAGCUGGAAUAGUUGGUUUAUGAAUAUCUAUCAAAUCCAUCAAAUCCAAUGCACCUUCACUGAAAAUGUCAACACAGUGAGCCAUUUCCUCCAAACACAGUAGGUGUAAUGGGACCAAUGUCGUACUUGGCACUGUCCAUAAACCAUGGCUACAACAAAAUAGCAAUCGUUGGCAUUGCUUUGGCUUGUACAUGUGAUCUGAAAUAUGUCCUGCCAGCCCACGAGAGAACGAGCUUUUUAAAUGCUUGAAAACGUUUACUGUUUGGAACGUACAUAGGAUGAAGUUAUCGCCUCUGACGGUGAAUCCAAAGCCCUCUCUCCAGAUUGUCGCGAGUUUUACAAGUUCCCAGCAAGACACAACCUCACUGGCUGGACGAAUCCAGAGCAUGGCCCGUGGUGAUUCGGCCUCUUUUGUUUUGCGUGGUUUACUCCCAAAGCCGGAGAUCAACUUUCAUGCUGGGAUGCUGGCCGGUGUAACCUUGGGGACGGUGUCUGGUGACGAGUUAUUGCAGGGGCCGAGCCUGACCGAAUCAACUGGUAAGCUAGAAGUUUUUUUCGUAUUUACGUAUUCGCUGACUGAUACUUUAUUCCAGCGGCUUCGACAUGGUCCGUAGCCAACGCCACGGCAUUUGGACAGUGGAUACAGAGCAGAGGCUCCAUCUCUCCCGUUGCAUCCGGCUACGUCAUCUCCGGCCCGACCACAGCUCUACGAGCCGAGGUUGUUCAUGUUUCCAUGGAGGAGGAAUGGCCGAGGACGCUCCAGAACGGUCUCGUAGCACACUUCGGCUCCUCCAAGGCUCGAGACAGGAGAUGCAAGGGAUGCGUCUGGGUGGGAAUGGCUUGUGUGACAACGCCGGUAGUAGCAGCAGUGUGGGCACAGGAAAGCCAGGGAGCAGCAGCGGCAUCAAGCUGCAAAUCCGCUACGUUCUAGAGCAACUUGGAGCGGAAUUUUAUGGCCUCUCGUGGCUGACCAUCAGUCCCAUGUAUCUCCACCGGCAUCCAGUGCUGCCUUACCACUGCGGCGUAGUGCUGCGGCUGGAGAAGCUACUGGAUUACCCGGAGGCACCACCACCGCCGCCGCCGCCGCCGCCGUUAUGAUUAUGUACAUACGAUGUUUAAAACGACAGUAUAAAUAUACGUAUUCUUAUUAAGCAAAGGGAAGAUUAAAAAAAAAAGAGUUUAGCCUUUGUUCAUUAACCAUCUCUUCUUUGUUGAGCAUACAAUGGCGGACUCAAGGGGCUCUUUUCCAGACGUAUCACGCUAAACCGGUUAAAGACCGAUCGAUGCUUAACCUCACAACAAUGCACAGCCAUAUUUCUUGCUGAUAUCGGUUCUAAGCCAAGGCGCAUUGGCCAAUGUCGCAUUGCUGGAUUCCUACCACUUUCGAUGAAACUGCAUUCUCUCUCGAUCAGCCAAAACACCAAGCUAUCUUUUAAAAUAAAAUAAUAGAAAUUAUAAGAACUAAAUUUCAGAGGAUACCCAACAAAGUCACGCUAGGAGUAAUAUAAUUGUUGAUAAUCUUGGAAGAAACCUCAUAAAAAUGUUAAACCAUCAAAAGAUAAAUGUGCACUUGGAUUAUCACAUAGUGUACCAUUUUGUGUUCCGCAUCCACAUAAUAUUGGAUUGUUGCAAUGGAAAUCAUCUCCUGGUGCACUGCAACAAGCCACUUUAUAAGUUUUAAAUCCAUAUUGAUCCAUAUUUCAUAAGCUCAGUGCGUGCAGAGAACCAAUCAAAAUAGUAUAGUUCAAUAUCAUCGUUCUGAUUUUUAAUAUCAUUCACGAUAUCCAAAAUAGCUUAAUAAUAUUUGUAAGCUCAAUAACAUAGUCUGCUACCACUGAAGCAAAGGCACUACCUUCCUCGCCUCACAUUUCCAGUAUGGCUGCAAGCCACCAGACCCAAAACAAAGCACGUCAAGUCCGGGAGGUGGAGUGUCUUUAGAGAACCAAACAGUUCCAAUGCCUCAAAUGAGCUAGGGCUACCAGCAUCCCGGCAUAUGAAACCAUGUCAGGCACGGGAAUCAGGGCCAGCAGCUUCAAAUCUCUGCCCAGAUGCCCAUUACCGGCAUAUGCUGUCAGCACAGUAUUCCACGUGGCAGAUUCGUGUUGGGGGAGACUUACAAACAUUCUUAUGGCCUUGGUCAGAUGCCCAUGCUGAGAAUAUGCCGAGAGCAUUGUGUUGAAGGAUAGGAGGCCUUGCUCUGGCACGGGGUUGAAGUUGUGCUGUAUCUCCUCGAUUCCGUACGCCACACUUGCUUUUCAAGAGCAGCAUUGUGGUCCAUGACACAAGAUCCCUCUGUGGCAUUUUCUCAAACACGCACGUUGACUGCUCUAUGCAACUGUGACUGGCAUAUGCCGCAAACAUUGAGUUCCAGGAGACAAUGUCCCUAAAAACAUGGUUGUUGUGCAUGAAACCAGGCUUCUUUCUGGCAUCUCUUCUAGGAAGUUUGUAGAUUCCUCUACACGACCGGCACGGGCAUACGCUGCCAGCAUGCCAUUCCACGUCGCCACAUCAAAGGAAUACUGCCAAACAGCUGCUGGGAGAGAUCCAGCCGUCCAUUCUCGGAGCAUGCCGCAGACUCGAACAUCUUGACGCACUCUUGCAUAUGCCCAGUCCGGGCAUAUCCCGCCAAGGGCACAUUCCAAGGCAUGACGCUCUUGUGGGGCAAAGAUUCUCUGGGCUUCCUCCAAAACCCCGUUCAGUACGUAGGCAUUGAGCAGGAGAUCCCAGGAGAAGGAAUCUUUUCUGGGGAGCGAGUCAAACACGCGGCGGGCAUUAGAGACAGUAGAGCACCUCCCGUACAUCUGGAUGAGCUUGUUGCAAAGGAAGAUAUCGCCGCUAGUGAUGGAUUGGAUCCUGGAGUGAGCUUGGAGAGCUUGAGAUGGAGUUGCACAGCAUUGGAUGAGCUCCAAGCACCCAGUCAUUCUUUCAUUCUUUGUGAGUUUAGGGUUUUAGAAGGAAGCAAUGCUCCAGCAGCGGGUGAAUGCGCUCACGGGGGAGAGCGAAUGGAUUCUCGUUGGCGAUGGAGGCGACGGCGGCGAUGCGAGCGAUCCCCUGGCAGAGAGCUCGUAUCUUGACAUGCUGAAUGAUCGCGCCAGGAACAGGGCAUUCUCUUCAGCAAUCGCGAAGGUCGGCCGCCAUGGCCAUGUCCUGGACAUUGGGUGAGGCUAGAGAGAUCCUUCUUUCGUUUCCUGAGCUCGUUCUUGACAGUGCUCAUGGCUUGGCGGGCAAUGGAAGAGCAGUGCCAGGUGACUGCUUGCGAAUCUUUUCUUCCAAUGUACAAGCUGGCUCGCAAAGUUUGCCGAGACAAUGGGACGAUGGGAGCGAUCAAGCUGCUCCAUAUGCGCUCGGAUGAGAUCAAAGUCGGGGUGGACAUCUCUAGCAAAGCCGAUGCAUUGGUACGCUAAGUCUGUACACAUUCUUCUUCUUCGUUUCCUCUGGACUCUUUGUCUCUCCAGGUGUGUGAGAUUUUAGACUCGGAGUUGCUUGGAGAAGGGAUCAUUCCAAGUCCAAGGCACGCUCAUGAGCAUUUACUCCGGCCUAAUGCUGCCACAGUGCCAUAUCGAGCUACUGUGUAUGCCCAGGUAUAUAGCAAAGUCUUUUUUCUUAGCUCAGUGUUGAGUUUACUUCUUUCUCUUAGCUAGUCGAGAGCGACUUUCUCUGGAGAUUGCACGACCUUCAAGGGGUAGAAGACCAGCUGCAGGACGGAUUGGCUUUCGCUCCCAAUGAUUUCUACUCUUACUUCAAGCACAGACAGCAUGCGUUUCACGUUGAUGAAAUCCCCGGUAUGAAGCUGGUAAUUUAGUAGAGUUCUCUUACAAGUUACCAAAACCCGUGGC
rnacentral:lncRNA from 1 species